AUUGAACGCUGGCGGCAUGCCUAACACAUGCAAGUCGAGCGGAGCGGCGGACGGGUGAGUAAUGCCUAGGAAUCUGCAUGGUAGUGGGGGAUAACGUACGGAAACGGGCGCUAAUACCGCAUACGUUUGAAUGAGCCUAUGUGGGAUUAGCUAGUUGGUGGGGUAAAGGCUUACCAAGGCGACGAUCCGUAACCGGUCUGAGAGGAUGAUCAGUCACACUGGAACUGAGACACGGUCCAGAAUCCUACGGUAGGCAGCAGUGGGGAAUAUUGGACAAUGGGCGAAAGCCUGAUCCAGCCAUGCCGCGUGUGUGAAGAAGGUCUUCGGAUUGUAAAGCACUUUAAGUUGGGAGGCGUUACCAACAGAAUAAGCACCGGCUAACUACGUGCCAGCCGCCGCGGUAAUAC
rnacentral:rRNA from 1 species